UAAAGCCACUUAAUAUAAAGUGGGACCUAUUUUUUUUUUCAUUGCCUUACAAAUCACAUCGUACAAAUUCAUACGUGAUAACCAUCUCGUAAAAUAUGAAUCAACGUGAUACCGAUUUUCAUGUGAGGACGAACAUUUUUCACCAAAGCAGAUUUCGCAACACGAGUUGGACAUGCAAAUUCGCAGCGUUUGAAAGUGUUUUUUUGUGUGAGUGGAGCUUCAUCGCUACAUUGUUAACACAAUGGACAAUGGAAAAAAAUUGCUAAUGUGACCACACCUUACAUGCGGAUUCCGUCUGGGUCUGUGCAUUAUUCAGUGGUAUUUUAGCGUUAAGCGUACUACAAGUGUGCAUAUCUUGUCUCUCGGCCAUCUGUUUCAGGACUACCUUCUCGGUUUUGCACUAAAGCAAAAGCACACUUUUGUUUUGCUUGUAACUAGCAUUUUCUUUUACACCCACUCUCAUUUUUCCAUUCGCUUAAAAAAAAAUCCCGGUUCAUUCGUCAUUAUAUUUACACUCCUUAUGAUGAAACAUAAUCAGACUGAAAGAGAUGCAUACAUUCUAGAUAAUUUUAGAAUAGCAUUGAAAAAAUGUUUAGUUAGUAGAUUCUUGAGGGGAUAAACUUGAAACAAUGUGAAUAAAAAUGAUCUUUUUAUGUGAAAAUUAUUCAAGCGGUAAGUCAUCAGAGAUGCGAUACUGAUGCGUGCAGUUACGUGGGGAUAUUCGCUAGAGAAAACAAACGAAUAGGUGAUUUUCUGUGAAAAUAAAUCUCUCGACAAGAGCCAAACGCGGCACUUUGAUAAGGGAAUAUGUUGUAUUUUUGUACGGGGUAUUGUGCGACCCUUGUUCUUUUGUUCAUUUUUAGUGAGGCGAAUAUUUUUACAGUAUCUUUUGCAUUUGUGCUUGUUCUUGAUUUGAGUGGAAAAUUGUUUUCUUGUGCUUAUUUUACAAUGUUAAACAUACAAGUAGUAGAUGUUUGUAAAAACAUAUUGUAGUCAUUGCUGCUGGGUGUCAGUUCAUAUGAUGAUAAUGAUGAUGAUGAUGAUGAUGAUUCCACAUUUUAAGUAUAAAAUGACAUUGAGUGAGCUAAUGCCAAGAGUUUUAGGUCUACGACAAGCGUCAAGGAGCACAAGCGACGUGUAAGACGUGAAAAGUAAAGCUGUAUCUGUGUGUUUGUAUUGUGUUCACCGAUCACUGUAAGAUUAGAGUCACCUAUAAGGUCUGUACUGGUCCUCGUGUGUGCAGUGUGAGUCAAUGUGGUCGAUUUAUUCAGUGUUAAAUACAUGCACCGAGAGGUGCUGUCACAGACACCCUGUAAAUGAUUUGAAACAUCUUCUGCCCUUUGUAUUUGUGUCUUUAUGCAAAGUCACCUUGAUAUGAACUGUGCUCUUAGGCAAUCGGGGAUGCCUUCACUUUACCCACAGAACAACAGAAAUGUCGAUUUCAGGAUAAACACCCUACUUUCUCCGUCUUUAUGGACACUGUGUUUAGACAGGAAGUAGCCAUGUCACUCAGUGCUCCCAUAUUUGUGCCAUUGUUACACAAAUUAAUACUCGGACUGAGGAUCCACGUGGGACCAAACGGCCAUUUCGCUCCAUUUGCCUUGUUCUAGUGACAAGACCGUGUUCUUGGUGUCGAAAUGGUUUUGCAUUCGUCAUGUUUUACUUUUUUGUAUUGUCUACCUCAGCACCAGUUCUUUGUGUAACUUUUAAAAGGUGCCCAAUUAUUGUUACUUUGUUUUGUGCUUAAAUUUUGUAUUAUAGCCUUGUAGGGUUUUUGUUCUUCUUCUUUAUUUCAGCAUAGAGAUGCUGUUUUGAAGCACUGUGUGGUGUUUUUGAUGCUGCAGAUAGAGGUGUAGAUUCAUUUCCCCUUCUCUAUGUGGGUUCAGACACAUCUCUGUAUAUGUCAGUGUUCGAAAAUAAACUUGUAAACAGAAAUGCCA